UUAGAUAUAAGUGUUGGAAUCUAGGUAUGGUGUUGAUCCUUUGAAUAACAUCAUUGCUAGAGUGCCUAAUGGUGAUCAUCAGUCUUUUGUUUGGAAAGCUAUUGCUACUAUGAGAUCUUUUGUUAUCAGGCAUUCAAUGUAGUCGGUACGAAAAUGGGAUCCAAAUGGGCAAUCGAGAUCCCAUUUAAGUUACUCUACCCAGAUCUCUUUCUUAGAUCUGAUGUGCUCAGCCUAUGGCAAAGGUGAGUGGGGUGGGAUCAAUCAGCGGGCAGUCGAUUGUAUGGAAUGGUGAGUACAUUUAUAGCUGUUUACCCCACUUUGAAGUGGAAUAAUAUUUGGAGUUGUUUUUGGCUUAUUUUUGGUGAAAUUUGCAUACCAUAUUCUAUUUCAUGAUCGGGCCUGUUGGAAUAUGC
rnacentral:lncRNA from 1 species